rnacentral:snRNA from 1 species
GUGCUUUGGCAGCACGUAUACUAAAAUUGGAACGAUACAGAGAAGAUCAGCAUAGCCCCUGCGCAAGGAUGACAUCCAAAUUUGAGAAGCGUUCCAUAUAAAA